rnacentral:rRNA from 1 species
CCUACGGGAGGCAGCAGUGGGGAAUAUUGGGCAAUGGAGGCAACUCUGACCCAGCAAUGCCGCGUGAGUGAUGAAGGUAAUUUUAUUGUAAAGCUCUUUUCUUUGGAACGAAUAAAUGACGGUACCAAAGGAAUAAGCCUCGGCUAACGACGUGCCAGCAGCCGCGGUAAUACGUAGGGGGCAAGCGUUGUUCGGAAUGACUGGGCGGAAAGGGUGUGAAGGUGGUUUUAUAAGUUAGAGGUGUAAUACCCAGGGCUUAACGUGGGUGCUGCCUCUAAACAUGGUAGACUUGAGUGUGUGAGAGGAUAGUGGAAUUCCGGGUGUAGGAGUGGAAUGCGUAGAUAUCAGGAGGAACAUCAGUGGCGAAGGCGACUAUCUGGAAAACAACUGACACUGAGGAGCGAAAGCGUGGGGAGCAAACAGGAUUAGAUACCCGAGUAGUC